rnacentral:rRNA from 1 species
ACGAACGCUGGCGGCGUGCUUAACACAUGCAAGUCGAACGGAAAGGCCCUGCUUUUGUGGGGUGCUCGAGUGGCGAACGGGUGAGUAACACGUGAGUAACCUGCCCUUGACUUUGGGAUAACUUCAGGAAACUGGGGCUAAUACCGGAUAGGAGCUCCUGCUGCAUGGUGGGGGUUGGAAAGUUUCGGCGGUUGGGGAUGGACUCGCGGCUUAUCAGCUUGUUGGUGGGGUAGUGGCUUACCAAGGCUUUGACGGGUAGCCGGCCUGAGAGGGUGACCGGCCACAUUGGGACUGAGAUACGGCCCAGACUCCUACGGGAGGCAGCAGUGGGGAAUAUUGCACAAUGGGCGGAAGCCUGAUGCAGCAACGCCGCGUGCGGGAUGACGGCCUUCGGUUUGUAAACCGCUUUCGCCUGUGACGAAGCGUGAGUGACGGUAAUGGGUAAAGAAGCACCGGCUAACUACGU